GACGAACGCUGGCGGCGUGCUUAACACAUGCAAGUCGAACGGAAAGGCCCUGCUUUUGUGGGGUGCUCGAGUGGCGAACGGGUGAGUAACACGUUAGUAACCUGCCCUUGACUUUGGGAUAACUUCAGGAAACUGGGGCUAAUACCGGAUAGGAGCUCCUGCUGCAUGGUGGGGGUUGGAAAGUUUCGGCGGUUGGGGAUGGACUCGCGGCUUAUCAGCUUGUUGGUGGGGUAGUGGCUUACCAAGGCUUUGACGGGUAGCCGGCCUGAGAGGGUGACCGGCCACAGUGGGACUGAGAUACGGCCCAGACUCCUACGGGAGGCAGCAGUGGGGAAUAUUGCACAAUGGGCGGAAGCCUGAUGCAGCAACGCCGCGUGCGGGAUGACGGCCUUCGGGUUGUAAACCGCUUUCGCCUGUGACGAAGCGUGAGUGACGGUAAUGGGUAAAGAAGCACCGGCUAACUACGUG
rnacentral:rRNA from 1 species